rnacentral:rRNA from 1 species
UCGAGAAUUUUUCUCAAUGGGGGCAACCCUGAAGGAGCGACGCCGCGUGGAGGAUGAAGGCUUUCGGGUUGUAAACUCCUGUCAUUUGAGAACAAGUUGGACGCAGUAACUACGCGUCCAUUGAUAGUAUCAGAAGAGGAAGGGACGGCUAACUCUGUGCCAGCAGCCGCGGUAAUACAGAGGUCCCAAGCGUUGUUCGGAUUCAUUGGGCGUAAAGGGUGCGUAGGUGGCGUCGUAAGUCAGAUGUGAAAUCUCGGGGCUUAACUCCGAAACUGCAUUUGAUACUGCGGUGCUUGAGGACUGGAGAGGAGACUGGAAUUUACGGUGUAGCAGUGAAAUGCGUAGAGAUCGUAAGGAAGACCAGUGGCGAAGGCGGGUCUCUGGACAGUUCCUGACACUGAGGCACGAAGGCCAGGGGAGCAAACG